AUUUGUUGAUGAGUUAAAUUUUUGGUAUUUUUUGUUUUAAUUAGGUAUUGCAUACUUUUGUUAGAGAAUAAAUUAUUUUUUAUGAUUAAUAGAAUCUACCGGAUAAUAUAUUUUUUUUUGUUUUUUGUCUCAAAAAUAAUUUUAUGAUAUAUAGUUUUGAUAAGGCGUCGGUAGGGUUAACUUUUUUUUUUUUAUUAUUAGAAAUUUAUAUUAUUUUUUAUUGUGAUUUUAUUAUUGUUGGUUUGAUAGUAUCUGUAGUGUGUUUAAUAACUUGUAUUUUUGGUUGUUGGUGGUUAUGUUAAUGCUUGAGUUUAUGCAUUUGUAGAAUUAAUAAUUUAGUAGAUUAUUUUUAAUUGAGUUUUACGUUUAUAAUUUUUUUAGAUAACUAAAAUUAGGUUCAAAUGUUUUUUAAAGACUUAGGCUUUUGUUUGAAGUUGUCUUCUGCUCUAUGAGUUUUUAAAUGGCAGCCUUAGCGUGAGGGUAUUAAGGUAGCAUAAUAAUUUGUGUCUUUAAUGGGCUCUAGUAUGAAUGGAGGAAAUGGAUCUUAAUUUUCUUUUAUUUGUUUUGAAUUAUGGGUUUAACUAAAAAUUGUUGGGUUUAAUUAUACUAAGAUAAGUCUUCGGAAAUUUUUUUUUAUGUUCUUUAGGGUAAAGUUUUUGUGUAAAUUGUGAAACUAGAAGGUAUAUAUUAAAAUUACUUCGGAGUUAACAGAAUAAUAUUUUUUAUAUAGUUGUUAUAUUAGAAAAAAUAUUACAUCGAUGUUGUAUUUAUAUAAGCUAGUGAGUAGAAAAAUUGGUGUUUGAGACUGUUCUUCUUUUAAUAAAUAUAACGUGAUAUUAGUUUAAUUCAUCGUGAGAUAGAAUUGUUUAUCUAGUUAAUUAAUUUAUGUGUAUUAUACUAGUACGAGAGGAAAGUAUAUAAAGUUUGAAAUUUUUUGUGGUA
rnacentral:rRNA from 1 species